UACGGAGGGUGCAAGCGUUAUCCGGAUUCACUGGGUUUAAAGGGUGCGUAGGCGGGCAGGUAAGUCAGUGGUGAAAUCUCCGAGCUUAACUCGGAAACUGCCGUUGAUACUAUUUGUCUUGAAUAUUGUGGAGGUAAGCGGAAUAUGUCAUGUAGCGGUGAAAUGCUUAGAUAUGACAUAGAACAUCAAUUGCGAAGGCAGCUUACUACACAACGAUUGACGCUGAGGCACGAAAGCGUGGGGAUCAAACAGG
rnacentral:rRNA from 1 species